rnacentral:lncRNA from 1 species
UAGGUGGACAUCUACGGCAAUUGCACCAUUCUCACCUGCCAAUGAAGUCAGAGCUUUGGCUCCAGCACUUUCUUUUGGAGGCAGCCAGCCUUCCUCCCUCAUUUACUGACACUCUCUGUUCCUCCUCCCUGCAAGCCUUCCUAUGGAAACCAGCCUUGGUCAGCCAUGAGAGACACCCGUGUGGGAGUCACGUAACAAUGUCUGAUGGGGAUAGAAGAUGGUGGCAGUCCUGGCCCAGCCUUUGUAGUGAACCUUCCAACCUCCCCCAUCAGCAAGAAGCACUUUUUAUUCUUAAAGUAAGUGGCACAACGUUCUUGGUAAUCAAGAGAGACACUAAAACAAACCCAGACAGAAGAGCCAUCCUCUAAGACCACCAGCAGCACCCAGAAUGCCCCAUAAUUCUUCUAUCUGAAAUAGGAGGUCAUGUGUUACUAUUGAUAUAGCCUUUAUCAUUAAAGUUGGACAUUGCACUUCACCUCUCAGGAAACAUUAACUCAAAGGAACCACUACCACUCUGAACAGCAUGUGGUACAGCGGGUAGAGCCUGGGCCCUUGGAUCAGAAGAUAAAUAGGGUAUCUAUUUGCACAGAACUGCUAUUAGCUGAUGUUUUUACCCAGUCCAGAUGGGUGUAUAAUACUUCUUUCUCAUACAGGGAGACUGGGGAGAACCUUGUCA